rnacentral:misc_RNA from 1 species
AGGACUUGAAGCUUGAUGUGGAUACGAAGGAUGAAGAUGCUGAGACUCCUCUUCUUCAUGCUGCUCGGCAAGGACAUACUGCUACUGCUAAAUACCUUAUUGAGCAUGGUGCCGAUCCUUCCAUUCCAAGUGAUUUAGGGGCCACAGCUUUGCAUCAUUCUGCAGGGAUAUGUAUUUUUUAAUUUUAUCCUUUCCUCUUUCUUUGUGGUUGUAGGGGACAAGUCUAGACAAUCUGCAGCGUGGCUUUGCUGCUUGCUUAAUCUCUGUGAUGAUUUGCAUAUGGCGAAUUUGCAAUAAGAAUUAAAGCAUAUCCCAGUUUUCUUCCCUAGAUUCAUUUGGCCAUCUGAUCAGAUUUUUACUUCAAUGUUUUCGCUCUUGGUUGCAGGAAAUAUUGAGUUGCUGAGUUAUUUGCGCUCCGAGGGUGUUGAGGUUGAUUCAGGAAGUGAUGCCGGCACUCCUUUAAUUUGGGCUGCCGGUCAUGCUCAGCCUGAUGCUUUGAAAGUUUUGUUAGAGCACCAUGCUAACGCAGCAUUUGCUCUUUUUGUGGUUCUUUCUAUGUUAAUUAGUGUCAUUAUGAUAAAAGGUCAAAUUGUAUCUUCUUUGUGUUAUAUUGGUUUUUGAUUAAAAUAUGUG